ensembl:lncRNA
CACGGCGUCACGGCGCCCGCCGGCAACGCCUCCCCGACGCCCCCCGAUUCCUGGAAAGAGCGGCAGGGGGAGCGGCCCGGCCCGGCCCGUCUCGGUCUGGUCUGCAGGAGUUGUGGCGGCCGCACGCCGCGAUGGGUCGCGUCGCUCCUCCGGAGUGCCACGGCGUAUUCUGCUUACGAUCAAAGUUCCCGCGCGUGGCGAGCAGAGCGCCGUGCGGUUUUGUGUCUGCGGCGCGAAGCGAGGCCUGGGCGCGGCGGGACCUCAGCCGUGCGGUGAAGGUCGCGGCUGCGGGUCGGGAGCGGCCUGUGGGGAGCGAAAGCAAAAGCAAAGCCAGGCCGGGCAGGAGGAGCCUUGCGCUGAGGGACGGGCGGCCUGCGGACCGCGCCUGGCCGGCUCUCCAGGCAUAGGGGCAGCUGCUGCCGUCGGUCUGAGCUCGCAAGUUUGAGGCCGCUGCUGAGAGCCGAACGAGAUGUGGAAGACCCCGUAGGUCCCGAGGGGAAAGUCAGCGACUGCCCCCUCCUCUCACAACGUUUCACAACUAAAUCAAAAGUCAUCGUGCAGCAGAAGAGGGUGAAAGGAGAUAACGACAGAAGGGGAGGAGCGGGGCUGUGUCCUUUCACAGACCGGGCAGUGAAUGCGAGGGAAUGGGACCUGCAGUGGAUCAGCAGAGAUUCUGAGAACUGAAGGCCUCACCAGAGUGAACAGAAUCAGUGGGUUACAGUGUAUGAGCACAAAGUCUUACUAGCCACUCUCUUACUCCUCCCUGUCCCUGACCUCAAGGUACAGAACCUUCUACCGUGUCCCUCAUCUUCAUGCAGGAUCUUCUUCCCUUUUUGUUGCUGGAGGACAACAUGAACUCCUCCUGCUAACUCCUGGACCUUUCUUUAGUCCAUCUUUCUGAGCUAUGAGGCCAGCAGAAGCUCCCGUGUAUCCUGCUCUCUGUGGGACAACACCCAUUGCAAUGGGCAGGGGCUGGGUCCCUCUGUGUGAAGAAGCGGCAGAGGAGAACUAGCUAGAAGGGCUGGAAAGGCAUACUGGGGAACCUCCUGCUAUGAUAAGAGCAGUAACUGCUUUUGUAUACCAACCAAAUGGAAACUGAAAACUCUAUAAUAAAACCAACAGUAAGUGACUUUCAGAUCAGAAAACAGGUUUGCAAGACACAGUUUGUGAGCACGCCAUGGAAUGCAAACUGCCUCACGUUUUUUGGGGUCAGAGGAGGAAGCCAUCCCUCCCAUCUACAAAGAUCAGCUUGGGUGAGAAGCCAAGGCUCUAAAAACAUGACACUAUUAAAACAUGUUCCUCGGUUUCAUAUGGAUAUCGAGGAUGCAAAUGGGUUUGGAAUAGGUUUGUCAGUCAGUAAGAGAAAUGAAGAGUCGCAUCUUCCCUUUGAGCCCAAGAAACAGUGAGACAUAAUGAGCUUUUUUCUAUUUGAAGAAGUUUUAUUAUUACUUUCUAAGCUUUCAAAAUUUUUUGGAGAAUCUGAGUAAAAUGUUAGAGGCUUUCUACAGUAGUUUUUAUGGGUUGAGUGUCUAAUUAUUUCUCAGUUCUCUUCUAAGUUUCACAGAUAGGAAUCUCAACUCAUAGAAAGAUUAAACCCACAACAUGCUCUGUCUUGCACUGGAGUUCCCCAGGCCUGAGCUGGGAGCUCAACCUUGUGCUGCAUGGAAAUGCAUGAAGGAAGGUAUGUACAAAAACCAAGCAGGAGCCAUCCUGGCUGCUUAGCCAAACUGCACCAGAACCUAACAAGUCCAUAAGGGAGCUGUCUGCUUUCGCUAAGAGCUGUCAGUUGGGAACUCUGGAAAUACACAGCCCCUUGCUAGGCCAGGUCUGCCUUUCCAAAGGAAAUGACAUGCAGGUAGUCCCCCUGUUCCCCAUACUCUUGUAUGGCCAACAGGCACACGUUUAGAGAACUCCUCUGGGGAGCCGACAGCUGUUCUGAAGUACUCCGUGUAUUCAAAAUACCAACUUUGAAGAACACACCUGCAGUGCAAGCACUAGAAAAUUGGAGGUUAUAGGGUGGGCCUCUUUCAGGAUUCUGCAUUUGUGAAAGUAGCUACUUAGAUACCUGAGUCUCUACUGAGAGUAAUAGUGAUGAAACUCGUAUUACAAGUCUCCACUGUCCUUUAUGGAGUUGUUAUAUGAUCUCAAGGUACCCACUGGACUGGCUCCUGUAGAUAAGAAAGGUUUUACUAACUUCUGUGCAGGCAGAUGCUCGCAUCUCCAGCAGGGAGGCCAAACCUCUGAUGAUGAUUCUCUUCUUCUGGUCAAAAUGUCAUCUCCAGCAUCUGCUACCUGACCCUAACUGCAGAAGAGAAUUCUUACCACUUGGAUUCUAACAUAGCAUCUCCACAGAGCAAGGAGGCUUAUAAAGAAGAUGUAAUACUUGUGGGAAAUUUGUGUCAUCGUAAAGCAGUACAGGAAUGAGGGGAGGAGUGUGUGUGAACUGUUUAUAGUUGCUGUUUUGAUGCUAAAUUAUUAUUUUGCUGUUGGAAAUUCUUUUUGUUGAUGUAAGUUGUGAAGUUUAGGUGAUGAAUCUUCAUAAAGGUACAUUUUCAUAGUAAUGUAAAUAAUGUUUCAGCAUAUUUCUAUCAUGAGUUUUUGAACACCCAUGUCUCACACUGGUGUCACCUUCAGUGGAUGGCAAAUUCUGAGACACUUCUGUCUAAGCUUUUAAUGAAAAUAAACUAUUUUAUUUAAA